rnacentral:misc_RNA from 1 species
CUACCUGAUCCGAGGUCAACCUUGUAAAAAGAGCUGCGCGUCAUGCGCGUUUUCACGGCAGGGCGCCUGGGGGGCGUCCGGAGCGAGGGGAGAACAUGCGUUCGGUACUGCGCUCGGAGCCAUCCACAGGGCCCGCCACUCGCUUUCGGGGGCCCCCCGCCAGGCGGAGGGCGCCCCAACACCAGCGCGCAACGGGGCGCGUGAGGGGGGAAAUGACGCUCGGACAGGCAUGCCCGCCAGAAUGCUGGCGGGCGCAAUGUGCGUUCAAAGAUUCGAUGGUUCGCUGAAUUCUGCAAUUCACAUUACGUAUCGCAUUUCGCUGCGUACUUCAUCGAUGCAA